UCCCUCCACUCGUUUGCAUUGCCGAGUCCGGGUCUGUGGUGCUCGCGCAGGGACAGCGUGCUCUGGUCGCCUGACAUGGCGGCAGCGGCGACGACUGCAGCGACGAAGGGAAAUGGGGGCGGCGGUGGCCGGGCCGGGGCCGGUGAAGCCAGCGGCACGCGGAGGAAGAAGGGUCCAGGGCCUCUGGCCACGGCGUACCUGGUCAUCUACAAUGUGGUGAUGACGGCCGGGUGGCUUGUUAUAGCAGUUGGUCUGGUCAGAGCAUACCUGGCUAAGGGUAGCUAUCAUAGCCUUUACUAUUCAAUCGAAAAGCCUUUGAAAUUCUUCCAAACUGGAGCCUUAUUGGAGAUUUUACAUUGUGCAAUAGGAAUUGUUCCAUCUUCUGUUGUCCUGACUUCUUUCCAGGUGAUGUCAAGGGUUUUUCUAACGUGGGCAGUAACACAUAGUGUCAAAGAGGUACAGAGUGAAGACAGUGUCCUCCUGUUUGUUGUUGCCUGGACAAUCACAGAAAUUAUCCGUUACUCCUUUUAUACAUUCAGUCUGUUAAACCAUCUGCCUUACUUCGUCAAAUGGGCCAGAUAUCUCAGCACAAUUCCUGUGCCUAGAAGUUUGGAGCCAAUGCUUAUUGUACACACUUUUCAUUAUUCUGUACCCAAUGGGCGCUUCAGGCGAGCUGCUCACAAUCUAUGCCGCUCUUCCCUUUGUCAGACAGGCGGGCCUGUAUUCCAUCAGUUUACCUAACAGAUACAACUUCUCAUUUGACUAUUACACAUUCCUAAUUCUGAUCAUGAUCUCUUACAUUCCACUUUUUCCCCAGUUAUACUUCCACAUGAUAUACCAGAGAAGAAAGGUCCUUUCUCAUACUGAAGAACACAAGAAAUUUGAAUAGUUCCUGCUUCCUGCCACCCCACCCCCAAAAAACUCUUCAGUGAUCAAAAAAAUGCUGCAGACUUUUUGAGUUCCCAACACGUUUCAUAGAAAAUAAAGUAAGAACUAUUUUUAAAACAUUGGAAAAAAAAACGAAACAAAAACCAAAAACAAAACAAAACACUGUUACAUAAAACAUCCUGGCAUUUCAGCAUGCUCUUUCAACCAGAAAUUCCCAUUACUUAUGAUGGCAAUAGAAAGGGAUUUGACAUUUUAUAUCCUCCUGUUUCCUUUCUGUAUCUGCUAAAUAAAGAGCUGUAACACUAAAUGCUUGAGAGUUACAGUCUGAGUAACGAAGUUGUAUUAACUGAAUGCGCAGCUCACUAAGUUAGUUACGUUUCAGUCUGCAGUGUGUUUAGCAUUCCCUUUCCAAGCUUGAAUGCAUGCUGGAAACUAUUUGUAUUUUUGAAGUGGCAAACUUUGUUCUCUGGAAUGCUCUGAAGUUACGACUGGGAUCUAUUCCCUCAUAUCUAGUGAAUGAAUUACAAACUGUAUAUGCCUGUGAAGCUUUGGGGUGGUGCCCAUAGCAGAAAACAACUCAAACCCUUUUAUUUGUUUGCAAUUGAUUCAUUACUGCCUGCCACUAAGAAAUGUGCUUGAAUUUAAUAAGUAUGUGUGCAUUGUAAACAAAUACCAUAUCUGGGGCUCAGCCUCAACCAUAUUUUGAUAAAAUGACAGUUUUCAGAGGAACAAAGAUUGAUAGCUACUAAAGGAUGAGUACCUUUCACAGCCCCAUUCUCAGAACACCUCUGAGUAAUGUGUUUGCCAACAGCUGUUCUUGUUUAUAGGCCCAAAACCAAUCUAGUCAUAUAGGAGUAGGGAAUCUGUUAAUAAAAGCACAUGGAAGGUGUUGCUUUAGAAAUAUAGUCCAGAAAAACAUCCAGGAAUAAUUUUAUAUACUGUUGUUUUUAUUAUUAUAAAGUUUUUAAAUUUUCAUCCAUCUCUUCUAUUUGUAUACUUUUCCUAAUUAUGAUCCUUUUUUAAUUCCCACCAAGUUGUUCAGGCUGGGCAGUCAUAGGCUAAAAGUAGUAUCAUCCAUGCAUGUGGUAGCAACCAAGAAAUGUUUUGGUCAUAUGGAUGUUGUCCGACCUCAUAUCUUCAUGCCAUUUAAUUGCUCAACUGUGUUUAAAUGUACCCUUCAAGGAAAGAUUGAAUGAAAAUGUAAAACCAAGUUUAGAUGUGCAUUUGAUUUUAAAUACAGUGUGUUCUUUGUGGAGCCUUGUUUCAGGGAUUUUUGUGGUGUGGGUUGAUCUUUAAAACUUUAAAAGUCUAUCUUACUGAGUAGUUAUCAUUUAAAAUAUAAUUGCCAAUAUCAGAAGACUGUCACAAUGAAAAAAUAUUUUAAAUGCUUAUUUCACUGAAGCUUGAAAAUUAAGACAAAAAUGAAAAAAAAAAAUGCAUCCUAAAAUUUAAUGCAGGCGAUCUGUGAUAAAUUAUUUUUGAAUUGAACACUAAAAUUCUGCUUUUUAAAUUUAGUACCUUUAACUUGGGUGUGUUGAGAUUAGAAUCUAUUCUUGAACUUAAAAAGACAAAACAUGUGGGAAAGAUAAUUUUUCAUGCUUUCACACAUGUGUUCUUUUAGUCUCUCAAAAGAUAUUUGGUUAGAUCAGUCUUAUUACUUUAUUUGGUUAAAAUUUUUCCAGUUGUAUUUGGGAUAGUUGUAGAAGAAGGAAUGAAAAAUUCAGGUUUUCCGGGAUUAUUAAGACUGGGGGUUUUAGUCAAUCCUCUCUUAUAAUCUGUAACUAUGAAAAACAGUGUUGCAAACAGUAGUUCGGCAUCAAAUUGAACUUUGACAACAAGCACACAGCAAACAACUCCCUUUUAAAAAACAGUUUCGACCUCGUGGUGUAUUUUUAUCCAGCAUUUAAAAUACUUAUGGCAGAUAAGUAAGACAUUAUUAGAGGUUAUUGUGUCCUUCAGUAGCUUCUCUCAUUAACGGGUUUCUUUAUCCCUAACAUGAAUUAAUUUUUCCUUUGAAGUGGUGGUGUUCUUUUAUAAACAUCCAACACCACCAAAUGUCACAUCUUCUCAUAAAGUGUGAAUGAGGAAUGUGGUGCUUUGGUGGGUAUUUUGUCAGACUGAGCAGUUUCAUUUCAGGGUACAGUCAAAGGCAUCAACUUCACAGCUACCCACUUGAUUCCAUGUUUCAGAUCCCCCCCUGCAGGAGGCUUCCUCUGGCAGAGAACGUUUUUUGAGGUAUGCAGUAGUGCUUUGUAGAUAGAAGCUGCUAAUCUGCAUCCUGCUGUGUUCUGUUUGCUAAGAUUGGGAUCAUUCAUUUAACAUAUACUGAUUAUUAUCAAAGGCACCGUGGACAGUUAGUCAGGGAAUAAAGUGUUAUCCUCCCAAAUGAAAAGGUUCCUCUGGGAUAAGAAAGGGUUAGAAGAUGUAGAGUUAAAGAGGCAUAUGAAGAGAUCAUGCCCUCAUUUUUCACUUUGUUCUUGGGUUAUUCGUUUAUAAUAAAAGGUUGGCAUUGAUGUGGCCAAUCUUGCAAAUUAUUUUCAAUUCUGAGUCUUAGAUAAAACACCAAAUUCAGUACAUACCAUUCCUUUGAAAUUUGGGUAAAAAUAUUAUACAACCAUAUAUAUAGUCAUUUUUGUAUUUUUUCUAUGUUGUGAAAACCAAAAUUGUAAUUUUAUAAGUCUUUGAUUCACUCAAAUUAUAUAAUUUAAAUGUAUUUUUUGUAUAUUUAGAAAUAAGGAAUUCAAAGACUAUGCUUACACUUUCUAUGCAUGCAUUUGGAAGCUAUUUUUACUUGAUAAUGUUAACAUGGUAAUAAGUUGUAUUCAUAAAAUACUGAUCUGUGUUGCAUUUUAAAAUAAACUGGUGUGUGCUCUGCCUGGAUUUGAAA